UGGCCAUAUCGAGCUUAAACAUCGGUUCCUGUAACAUCGCUGAAGUUAAGCAACGUCGAGCCUGGUCAGUAACUAGAUGUGUGACCGCUUGGGAAUACCAGGUGCU